UUGGCCCGCACUGCAUGAUGGGACAUGCUCACCUUUUUAUUUUUUCCUGUCAUCCAAAGCAGCUCAAUGAUCCAAAUACAGGAGCAUGGGCAUGUGUGCCGUUCGUACAGUUACACCACAGACAAAUAAUGUAAACCAGGGAAAUAAUAUAAAAAUGAUUCGAAAAAUAUAUCUUGAUACAAAACGAACAAUCAGGUGUUUGCAUGGCAGGCCUGGGACUCUCAGGGGGGCUUCUUUCCAGCACCAUGGACCCCUCUCUGCUCAUUGUUGAGUGUUCCUGAGUAUAUUGUUUAUGUGUAUCUUGUCACACUCAUCAAGGUCUGACUUGCAUCUGAAACGUUGUUGGUUUAGGAUACACUGGACUAGGAGGUCACCAGGAUCAAGUUCCUCCUGAUGGUGAACAAGCAGGGCCAGACCUGCCUGUCUAAGUACUGUGAGUGGGUGGACACUGGAAAGAGGCCUUCUCUGGAGGCUGAUGUUGUCAAGGGAUGCCUGUCACGGUAAAAAGAAGAGGUCUCUAUCUCAAUUGUUAUUUUUACUCCAUUUGAAAUCUCAAUCAAUCAAAUGCAUUUUGUAAAAACCUUUUUACAUCAGAAGUUGUCACACAAUGCUUUACAGAUACACAGCCUUAAACCCCCAAAAGCAAGCAAGCAAUGUGAAGGCAGAAGCACAGUGGCUUGGAAAAACUACUUUUUUGUUGUUUACUUUCAGGGUAGGACACAACAGUGAGAAGACGUACAUAACUGGUGACAGGGGCAUGGACGAGACAAUACAGAACAGAAAGAAAUCCAGUUCAAUAACCUACAUCCACCCCUUUCAUUUAUAAUUUUGGUUAUGCUAUUCUUCAUGCUGAGUUAGUAGUUUGCCACUGCCAGUCCACAUGCAUUUUAUUCAGGUGACAGAACUCAUUCUGCUAUUCAAACAUCCAAGUAACUAAUAUUUUCUAUCUAGUGCUCUUUUAUGGACUUCAAACUAGUAUAUCGACAGUAUGCUGCUCUCUUCAUAGUUGUUGGUAUCAGUGACACUGAGAAUGAGCUGUCACACAACUUUGUUGAGGUUCUUGACAAGUACUUCAGUCAUGUGAGUGAAUUGGAUGUAUCCUUUACAAAUGAUAUGUUUUGUUAUUAAUCAGUUUGAGGAAAUUCAUUUAAAUAGAUGCUGGGGCUGUCUGCGUGUCCACCCUUCACAUUAGGGGCUUGUCAUGUGGCUAGCUGACUGUGCCAUUCCAGGCCUGGCAUUUAGUGCGGCACUGCACAGACUGAUGAAGACAACUGUCAUUGUCUGAGUCUUUUUCUCAGUGGGCAGUCAGACUUGCCGGGGUCAGACCAGUCAUAAGAAGUGGAAUGCAACUACAGUCGGUUGUUUUUUAAAAGAAGUUGUUCAACCUGGCGAGACAUGUUAAUGCAGGUUAAAUUCCAUGACUGAAACUUAAGUCAAUUCAUCCUUUUACAGAAAGACAAUCAUGUUGUACAUGUAUUAAACUGUGAGUUUGACAUUUUCAAUGUUUAAAUAUUUUUUCAAAGAACCCAUGACUGAAAUGUCAGUGAACUUUGACCCCUCUGUUAAGAGUAGCCAGGGGUUAACAAUAACAAUUUUCUUACUAAUGGAAAGGGAUCAUUGGG